AGCGAACGCUGGCGGCAGGCCUAACACAUGCAAGUCGAACGAACCUUUCGGGGUUAGUGGCGGACGGGUGAGUAACACGUGGGAACGUGCCUUUAGGUUCGGAAUAACUCAGGGAAACUUGUGCUAAUACCGAAUGUGCCCUUCGGGGGAAAGAUUAAUCGCCUUUAGAGCGGCCCGCGUCUGAUUAGCUAGUUGGUUGAGGAAAUGGCUCACCAAGGCGACGAUCAGUAGCUGGUCUGAGAGGAUGAUCAGCCACAUUGGGACUGAGACACGGCCCAAACUCCUACGGGAGGCAGCAGUGGGGAAUCUUGCGCAAUGGGCGAAAGCCUGACGCAGCCAUGCCGCGUGAAUGAUGAAGGUCUUAGGAUUGUAAAAUUCUUUCACCGGGGACGAUAAUGACGGUACCCGGAGAAGAAGCCCCGGCUAACUUCGUG
rnacentral:rRNA from 1 species